ACUGAGCUAUGGAAGAAAACAUCGCCAAUGACAUUAAUUUGAGAUCAAGAACUUGGCCAAUGCCAUUCAUCUGACACAAGCUUGAGAGACUCCCUUGGGUUUAUCCAAUACACUUUUUCUCUUUGUCUAAAUUGUGAUUUUUGAUAUUUCAUCUGAUACACAUAAAGGACAUUGAAGAUUUCUUGCUUUGGAGUGCAAGCUUAAAU
rnacentral:lncRNA from 1 species